rnacentral:rRNA from 1 species
AACGAACGCUGGCGGCAUGCCUAACACAUGCAAGUCGAACGAGACCUUCGGGUCUAGUGGCGCACGGGUGCGUAACGCGUGGGAACCUGCCCUUAGGUUCGGAAUAACUCCCCGAAAGGGGUGCUAAUACCGGAUAAUGUCUUCGGACCAAAGAUUUAUCGCCUUUGGAUGGGCCCGCGUUGGAUUAGCUAGUUGGUAGGGUAAAAGCCUACCAAGGCGACGAUCCAUAGCUGGUCUGAGAGGAUGAUCAGCCACACUGGGACUGAGACACGGCCCAGACUCCUACGGGAGGCAGCAGGGGGGAAUAUAGGACAAGGGGCGAAAGCCUGAUCAGCAAUGCCGCGUGAGUGAUGAAGGCCUUAGGGUUGUAAAGCUCUUUUACCCGGGAUGAUAAUGACAGUACCGGGAGAAUAAGCUCCGGCUAACUCCGUG